GGUGAAGCAGUCCACAGGUGAAACCAACCAAUUGGCUGAUAUCAGGAAGGUUUUGUUUCUAUUUAUAUCGCCUCUUUUUCAUCAUAAAGGACUUAGAUAUCCAUGUUCCACUAUUCCUUGUAACUACCGUGCAGGUUCAUUGUUGUGAUGAUCAAGAAUGUAUGCUGACACUGGCCUAGGGGGCGGAAGAACAGGUUAUGAAACACAUCUAAUUAAUCAGCCAGAAUGUCAUCUCAUCGGUUCUGAGAAGCGUCAUCCAGGCCUAAAAGCCGGACUGUGCCAGUUCUGGUAAACAGAAGUCACUCUCUCUAGAAAACAAAGGCCAGUUGGAGAAGACAGCUUGUGCCAGUACACAAAAACACAAGGACAUCAUCUCUGGAUAACUAAGAGACAACACGUCCUGGGUACAUGAUAUAGGCAGACCUGUUAUAUUUCUGAAGAUACCAGAAGAUAGAUUUAUGCAAGGGUACUCUGUUUAAGAAGCCAUCUGUCUGCUUUGGGCAAAUGACUGUGAGCCUAAUCCACUUACAGAAAAUGUCAACAAAAUUGCUUCA